GGGGAAAAAAUUGUGCUUGAAAACCCCUUCCACCUGAAGUCUGUGGAUAGUCAAUACAAUGUUAAACAAAAAUCUACACACCAGUCAAGCCAUGCAUGAGUGGUUCACUAGCUUUGCAUCUUUUCCUAAGUUGUGUUUCAAAGCUGUUGGAUUCCUUUGAGGCUGUUUGUUGUAUACAUGUUUAUAAUAGAAUGAGGCAAAAAUGUGAUUCUUUGUUAAACUAAUUUACAUAUGCCCACCCAGAAUCCUUUGCGGUAGUAACAUCACAUCAAAUUUGUGAUUUCUGUGGGAAAAGCCAAGUCUUAUGGCAGUGGCGGACUAAGGAGGGGGCGGUACGCUCCGGGUGCCACCUGGUAGGGGGUGCCUUGACCCUGGUCUUGGGGCUGGAGGGGGCUGUGUGAGCUGUGCCCCAUGGCAGCUGGGUUGUCACCGCUCACACGGAGACCAGCACGCUAAACUGGCCGCCCG